UACGUAGGGUGCAAGCGUUGUCCGGAUUUAUUGGGCGUAAAGAGCUCGUAGGCGGCUCGUCGCGUCAGCUGUGAAAACCCGCGGCUUAACCGUGGGCUUGCAGCUGAUACGGGCGGGCUAGAGUUCGGUAGGGGAGACUGGAAUUCCUGGUGUAGCGGUGAAAUGCGCAGAUAUCAGGAGGAACACCGGUGGCGAAGGCGGGUCUCUGGGCCGAUACUGACGCUGAGGAGCGAAAGCGUGGGGAGCGAACAGG
rnacentral:rRNA from 1 species